AUUGAACGCUGGCGGCAUGCCUUACACAUGCAAGUCGAACGGCAGCACGGGUGCUUGCACCUGGUGGCGAGUGGCGAACGGGUGAGUAAUACAUCGGAACAUGUCCUGUAGUGGGGGAUAGCCCGGCGAGAGCCGGAUUAAUACCGCAUACGAUCUACGGAUGAAAGCGGGGGCCCUUCGGGCCUCGCGCUAUAGGGUUGGCCGAUGGCUGAUUAGCUAGUUGGUGGGGUAAAGGCCUACCAAGGCGACGAUCAGUAGCUGGUCUGAGAGGACGACCAGCCACACUGGGACUGAGACACGGCCCAGACUCCUACGGGAGGCAGCAGUGGGGAAUUUUGGACAAUGGGCGAAAGCCUGAUCCAGCAAUGCCGCGUGUGUGAAGAAGGCCUUCGGGUUGUAAAGCACUUUUGUCCGGAAAGAAAUCCUUGGCCCUAAUACGGUCGGGGGAUGACGGUACCGGAAGAAUAAGCACCGGCUAACUACGUG
rnacentral:rRNA from 1 species